AGGCGAAGGCAGUCCACGCUGAGGAGGGGCGAGGUGAACAUCGUCUGGUUCUUCGAUUGCAGGCGCGGUGGUGUUCGUUGUGGCCUCGUCUGGUGACUGCGCUGUCCGCUGUGUUCAGCUGUCCACGGCGCCCGGCGUGACGUUGCUGCUUCCUGCCGUCGCCCUUCCUCCCUCGCAAACCACCGACGCACCAUCGACGGAUCCACGGCGGCCGGAAGUGUUGUUGUUGCACGGUUUUUGUCAGACUUAAGGGCUAGCAAGACGCUGGUUAUUAAGCAGUUUUGUGUAAGAGUUCGUUGGACUCCUCACUUUUGAUAUUUUUAGUUUUUUUUUUUUUUUUUUUGCUUUUUCAAGUGCUGGCUGAUGCAGGAGUUGUCUCCGGACGCUCAAUGAGGUAUUUUUAUAUAAAAAAUAAAGCUAAUUUU